UUCUGGAGAAGUUCUGGAGGUUCCAGAGAAGUUCUGGAGGUUCUGGAUGAGUUCCAAAAGUUCUAGAAGCCUUGGAAUGGAUCCAGAGGUGUCCAUGAAGGGGUUCCAGAGGUUCUGGAGGAGUUCUGGAGGUUCUGGAUGGGUUGGAAUGGAUCCAGAGGUGUCCAUGGAGAGGUUCCAGAGGAGUUCUGGAGGCGUUGGGAUUACUCCAGAAGGGUCUAUGGAGCGGUUCUGGAAGCCUUGGAAUGGAUCCAGAGGUGUCCUUGGAGAAGUUCUGGAGGUUCUCAAUGGAUUGGAAUGGAUCCAGGAAGGUCCUUGGAGCAGUGCCAGAGGUUCUGCAGAAGUUCUGAAGAAGUUCCAGAGGUUCUGGAGAGGUUCUGGAGGAGUUCCAGAGGUUCUGGACUGGUUGGAAUGGAUCCAUCACGACCCCACCUCAGCCCCCUCCCCCUUCUCCCCGGCCCUGCCCUUGCCCAGGGUUCUGGAACAUUCCAGCUGCUCCAGCUUGGAGGCGGAGCGGCCGAGGGCGGCACCGGCGCCGUUGGUCUGGGAGCAGACGUGCGCGGUGCCCUUGGCCGGCGCGCCGUGCACCUUGUAGCGCACCAGCAGGAUGAAGAUGAACACCAGCACCGAGGCCACCAUGGCCACGGAGCCACCCGGGUUCUGCCCACCCAUCCUGGACCCAUCCUGGAUCCAUCCUGGAUCCAUCUUGGACCUCCCGGACCAAUCCUGAACCCAUCCGGGACCGAUUCUGGAUUGUCUUGGAUCUCCUGAACCCAUCCGGGAUCGAUUCCAGAUUGUCUUGGAUCUCCUGGACCCAUCCUGGAUUGAUUCUGGAUUAUCUUGGAUCUCCUGGACCCAUCCUGGAUCGAUUCUGGAACUCCACGACCAAUCCAGGACCACUCCAGGACCUCCAGAACCAA